CUCUUUUUUCACAUGGGUUCGAUGGUGCUUGUGCAAAGUCGGCGCCACCUUGGAUCAGCGGGUUAUCGAUGUCCACUUAAAGUCCAGUGAGAUUGCCCGGAGUCCAAUUUUCCGAGCAAUACGGACUUUGUUAUCAUAUUUUCGUUCCGAGGGAUUCACCACACAACUACCUAAUGCCACCCUGUACACCUAGUGAAAAAUGGCUGGAGAGCCAUCGGUCGGUUGAGGGUAGAAAUAUUUGACAGCUGGAUGACGUAAAUGUACGCUGAAAAGAGAUGGCAAUUCCGGGGUGGCACACACAAAAUAUCAUAUGUUAGCAGAGAGAGGAGACAAUGUCAUAAGGAAAAAUGCAACACUAGCGAUACCUGGACGGCCGAUACGGACAACUUUCGAAGCGCCGCUAUAUGAAAUUGACAGCGACGCUGUAAUAUUAAAAUUUAAUAUGACCGAUACAAAUAAAGCUAAAAGUAUUAUUUUUUAAAUAAUUUGAUAAAUUGCCAAA